rnacentral:tRNA from 1 species
UAAUAAUAUGUUAUUUUGGCAGAAUAGUGCAUUAAAUUUAGAAUUUAAUUAUGUAUUUAUAAUACAAAUAAUA